AGUCCCUUUCUGUUGCAUCUCUCACAGUGUCCUCUAAAAUCUCAAUGGCUAAUAAUAGAUAUAAAACUACAACAGAAUUUGUGUAUGCCUUCAUAAAAGCAAAAUUCCAACUUUUAUCUGUUUUUUUCCCCAAUGUUAUUAGGCUUACUUGCACUGUCUGUGCAUCUAUCUGCUCUGGAAUCCAGUUACCAUUCCUAAACAGUGAAGGCACAGACUAACAAAUAAAUGCAUAAACAAGACAUACGUAAGUGUAAAACUCUUUAAAAAUAUUAAUAGCAAAGCAUUGUGGAAAAAAAAUCAGAAGAUCUGAUUGCUGUUCUGUAAUCUAGGAUUUGGGUAUAAAAACAACUCCCAUUGGCUGAAUCCAGCAGCCAUGACAUCCGAUCAUUUUUUCCUACCUGAACUUGUUUAGUGAGCUCUUUCUCUAUAAUAUGUUCUUUAUUGCCCAAGGAAUGCUCUUUGAAUUUACUUUCUUUACAGGGUGAUUAUAAAUCUUCAUGACAUCCCUAAUGAUUCAUCUCUUUUGGCACAGGGCAGGAGGAUAACCAUUUCUAUAAUGCACACAUUUCAUUUAAGGUGAAACUAGUAGGAAAUUUAUCAAUCAGCCCAGGCGUUUUAGGCAUAGGCUGAACUCUGCCACCGUAACCAUUUUUUCCUCUCCGUAAACACUUUUAAUUUUGGUAUCCUUUCUGCCUUUAAUGACCCAUAAUCCUUUCAAUCAGAGGUUGUUUUUAAUUUGUACAUGAUUAAGUCCAUGUAUUGAACUUUUCUUCUACUGAGGAACAGAUGUAAAUUAAAUUUUUAGUCAUAAUAUGGAAAUAUUUAGUUAAUGUUAAAAUAUCCCCCAGAUCAUUUCACAUUCCUUAAACAGAAUAGACUACUCAACUCAAACUCUGAUCAGCAUCUGUUUUCUGGGUUUUGCAGUAUUAUUUUUUCAAAAACUAAAUAAUUUUAGAGCCAUAAAAAUGAGAGUGAUCCUCUUCUUUAUUUGGGGGUUCACUGUGGUGAGACAAACGCCUCAUGCUAAAUGAGUCAUUGGCCAUGACUUAGGCCAACGUGGGCCCUGAGCCCGAGAUUUCAAUUGUUCUAGCAAGGUGUUCUUUAUGAAUGGAAAAUCCUGGAAUCCUGUGAGUUAAACACCUCUCCUAAAAUAUUUCUGGGAUUGAAAUCUUUCCCUCAUUGUAUAUGAUUUUUGUAAAUCAAUGGUGUUUGUUUCCAUCAGAUGUUCUCUCUCUCCUGAAAACAGAAAACUACAUGAACAGAUUAGAAACCCAUAUGAGAGAAGCCAGCAACAGUGGGGGAAAGCCUUCUGCAAAAAUACUUUUGAACUUCAGAGGAGGAGACACAUGCUUGGUCCUCCAAGCUGGAAGACAUGGAAAAAAAAUUUUUUUCUUUCUUUUUUUUAAAAUAGACAUAUGUAGAACAUUUGUUUCCGUUUUAUUUCUGCUGUCAUAAUCUGAUGGUUUUAUUCAGUUUUUAAACAUGCUUCAGCUGGAAACACUACAUCUUUAAAUCAGGCAACCCUGGCGUCUGUGUGAAUUCCCUUGCUGCGCUCCCUCACCUUACCCAGGUGCAUGUUAAAUCAGUAUUAAUGACAAUAUCAUUCUUGUGCAGUCAUCUCCUGCCUGCAAUUUGGUUUUAAUUACCCGCCACGUUGUCUUUCCCCCUCACUGACAGCCAUUAAAUAGGGAAUGACACCAGAGCCAUGGCUGUGCGCAGUCUUCACGUCGCCGGAUUUCGUCCCCCUCAUAAAGCAGGCUGCAGUGCCUCCUAGUGGCGGAGGUCCGAAAGGGCCCUCAUUGAAAUUGGAGACUCGCCAUGCACUUUUCAGGUUCCACCAUCAUUCCCUUUGCCUGAUGAGGGUAAGAGCAAAUUGGCAUGGUCUUCAGGCACUUUAGAUCAAGAAGCAGAAACAGUGUGGAAGACAAGAGAGUGUAUGCUAUUUUCAAGACACUUGGGCAGAGCAGCGGCCGAGUGCGCUGCAAAGCAGGACAGGGCUCAGCUCCAAAAGCCCUGGGCAGCCCGGUGCCACCUCCCCGGGCCCUCUCCCCACACACAGCUCCUGUCUCAUCCCUGCAACAUGCUUUGCACGUUCUGAUCUCCAGAGCGCCUAUGCCUAUUGCUUGAUUACAGAUUACAGAAUUACAGAUGGGAUGACAGAAGCUGAAGAACUUUUCAGAGAGCAAACAGUAUCAUUACGUUAAUUAAACCAA